rnacentral:rRNA from 1 species
CCCUUAGAUGUUCUGGGCAGCACGCGCGCUACAAUGGUCUUCGCAAACGGAUGCAUUCUCGAAGGAGAAUGCCAAUCUUGGAAUCUAUGCCUUGGUCGGGACAGUUGCUUGCAAUUUUUCGACUCGAACCAGGAAUUCCUUGUAAUCGUGAUUCAUCACAUCACGAUGAAUACGUCCCUGCCCUUUGUACACACCGCCCGUCGCUGCCCGGAACUGAGCCGUUUCGAGAAAGCCGGGGACCGACGGCUUGUGGGUGCGCAAGCACUUCUAGUCGAUGGAAACCAGUUUAAUCGGUAUGGCUUGAACCGGGCAAAAGUCGUAACA